UACGUAGGGGGCAAGCGUUGUCCGGAUUUAUUGGGCGUAAAGAGCGUGUGGGCGGCCACACACGUCAGCUGUGAAAACUCGAGGCUCAACCUCGAGACGUCGGUUGAAACCGUAUGGCUAGAGUCCGGAAGAGGAGAGUGGAAUUCCCGGUGUAGCGGUGAAAUGCGCAGAUAUCGGGAAGAACACCCGUGGCGAAGGCGGCUCUCUGGGACGGUACUGACGCUGAGACGCGAAAGCGUGGGGAGCGAACAGG
rnacentral:rRNA from 1 species